UUAUUCAAAAAAAUUGAAAUUCAAAAUUAUCGUUCAAGAUUUUGAUGUUUGUAUAUAAUACUGUCAAUGUACACUUCUUAAUUUGAACAUCUAUGGAACUGUCAGGAUCUGCCUGCUGAACUUUUUGUGUAUGAAGAAAGGGUUGGAACUUGGAAGUUGCGAGUCGCUACAAAGACAGAAGGAGCCAAAGAUUGAAGAGAAUUAAAACAAAGGACAGAAGCCGCAACAUGAAAGUCAUAGCUGCAGACAACUGAUAUCUACUGCAUAUCUUUGACGGGCAAUAUGUAGAGCUGACAUUGACCAAAAGACUUGUCACACUAGCAGUUGAGCAAGUCGCGGCUAGUGAGAGAAAUGACAAGGCCUGCAAUCAGAUAAAACACAUGUUUUUACAUCAAAUUAUGAUAAGGGAUAACACCAUGGUGAUGAUAUGCAUUGAGAAAUAAGAAACAAAGAAGGAACUGAAUUUUAGAGGAUAGUUUCUAAGAUGAAUUUCUUAUUGACCUACGACACCAGAAACAGCUACUUCAACUUCCCCGCAUCCUCCAGGACCUUUCAUGCAAAGUCUGUCUUUUUUGCCAGAGGAAUGACCCAUUGAUAGAAGACUUCCAAAUCCAGAACUCCCAAUUGAGAAAAAAAGACGAAAUGAUAUGAGAUGAGAACUAAAUAAGCAUGAAGAAGACAUUAAGAAUAAACUAAAAGCUAAGUUGUUUAGAACAUAAGUUAAGCAGUCUACAUGUUUUGCUCCCUUUAAACUAGACCAGGCUUACUCGACAUGAAAUCAACUACAAGUUUAAAGACUAAAUGUGCAUGUUUUUCCACAGACCAUGAUUAUUUUUGAUAAAUGAAAAAUAUGUUGAUUAAAAGGCACUAACAAGGGUCUCAACCCAUUGUAAAACUAUAGUAAAACAGAAUAUGUUUAACAUAUCAAUCAUUUUCUCACAUUCACAUUAACACAAGCAGAACAUAUUUAUCAGAUCAUGAGCUAGGUUUUUACAAAAUUCUGAAAGAAUAAAAACAGAAGGCAAUUCUUGGAAAGAUUGAUUCCAGGUAGUGUACCAUCAUAUGCAUCCCGGACCAUUUGAU
rnacentral:lncRNA from 1 species